rnacentral:rRNA from 1 species
UACGGAGGGGGCUAGCGUUGUUCGGAAUUACUGGGCGUAAAGCGUACGUAGUCGGCUUUGUAAGUUAGAGGUGAAAGCCCAGGGCUUAACCCUGGAAUUGCCUUUAAGACUGCAUCGCUAGAAUUGUGGAGAGGUAAGUGGAAUUCCGAGUGUAGAGGUGAAAUUCGUAGAUAUUCGGAAGAACACCAGUGGCGAAGGCGACUUACUGGACACAUAUUGACGCUGAGGUGCGAAAGCGUGGGGAGCAAACAGG